AAGGUUAACCGAAUAGGGGAGCCGGAGGGAAACCGAGUCUUAAUUGGGCGUUAAGUUGCAGGGUAUAGACCCGAAACCCGGUGAUCUAGCCAUGGGCAGGUUGAAGGUUGGGUAACACUAACUGGAGGACCGAACCGACUAAUGUUGAAAAAUUAGCGGAUGACCUGUGGCUGGGGGUGAAAGGCCAAUCAAACCGGGAGAUAGCUGGUUCUCCCCGAAAGCUAUUUAGGUAGCGCCUCGUGAAUUCAUCUCCGGGGGUAGAGCACUGUUUCGGCUAGGGGGCCAUCCCGGCUUACCAACCCGAUGCAAACUGCGAAUACCGGAGAAUGUUAUCACGGGAGACACACGGCGGGUGCUAACGUCCGUCGUGAAGAGGGAAACAACCCAGACCGCCAGCUAAGGUCCCAAAGUCAUGGUUAAGUGGGAAACGAUGUGGGAAGGCCCAGACAGCCAGGAUGUUGGCUUAGAAGCAGCCAUCAUUUAAAGAAAGCGUAAUAGCUCACUGGUCGAGUCGGCCUGCGCGGAAGAUGUAACGGGGCUAAACCAUGCACCGAAGCUGCGGCAGCGACACUGUGUGUUGUUGGGUAGGGGAGCGUUCUGUAAGCCUGUGAAGGUGUGUCGUGAGGCAUGCUGGAGGUAUCAGAAGUGCGAAUGCUGACAUAAGUAACGAUAAAGCGGGUGAAAAGCCCGCUCGCCGGAAGACCAAGGGUUCCUGUCCAACGUUAAUCGGGGCAGGGUGAGUCGACCCCUAAGGCGAGGCCGAAAGGCGUAGUCGAUGGGAAACGGGUUAAUAUUCCCGUACUUGGUGUUACUGCGAAGGGGGGACGGAGAAGGCUAUGUUGGCCGGGCGACGGUUGUCCCGGUUUAAGCGUGUAGGUGUGUGUUCCAGGUAAAUCCGGUUCACUUUAACACUGAGGCGUGACGACGAGGCACUACGGUGCUGAAGCAACAAAUGCCCUGCUUCCAGGAAAAGCCUCUAAGCAUCAGGUAACAUCAAAUCGUACCCCAAACCGACACAGGUGGUCAGGUAGAGAAUACCAAGGCGCUUGAGAGAACUCGGGUGAAGGAACUAGGCAAAAUGGUGCCGUAACUUCGGGAGAAGGCACGCUGACACGUAGGUGAAGUGAUUUACUCAUGGAGCUGAAGUCAGUCGAAGAUACCAGCUGGCUGCAACUGUUUAUUAAAAACACAGCACUGUGCAAACACGAAAGUGGACGUAUACGGUGUGACGCCUGCCCGGUGCCGGAAGGUUAAUUGAUGGGGUCAGCGCAAGCGAAGCUCCUGAUCGAAGCCCCGGUAAACGGCGGCCGUAACUAUAACGGUCCUAAGGUAGCGAAAUUCCUUGUCGGGUAAGUUCCGACCUGCACGAAUGGCGUAAUGAUGGCCAGGCUGUCUCCACCCGAGACUCAGUGAAAUUGAACUCGCUGUGAAGAUGCAGUGUACCCGCGGCAAGACGGAAAGACCCCGUGAACCUUUACUAUAGCUUGACACUGAACAUUGAGCCUUGAUGUGUAGGAUAGGUGGGAGGCUUUGAAGUGUGGACGCCAGUCUGCAUGGAGCCGACCUUGAAAUACCACCCUUUAAUGUUUGAUGUUCUAACGUGGACCCGUUACCCGGGUUGCGGACAGUGUCUGGUGGGUAGUUUGACUGGGGCGGUCUCCUCCUAAAGAGUAACGGAGGAGCACGAAGGUUGGCUAAUCCUGGUCGGACAUCAGGAGGUUAGUGCAAUGGCAUAAGCCAGCUUGACUGCGAGCGUGACGGCGCGAGCAGGUGCGAAAGCAGGUCAUAGUGAUCCGGUGGUUCUGAAUGGAAGGGCCAUCGCUCAACGGAUAAAAGGUACUCCGGGGAUAACAGGCUGAUACCGCCCAAGAGUUCAUAUCGACGGCGGUGUUUGGCACCUCGAUGUCGGCUCAUCACAUCCUGGGGCUGAAGUAGGUCCCAAGGGUAUGGCUGUUCGCCAUUUAAAGUGGUACGCGAGCUGGGUUUAGAACGUCGUGAGACAGUUCGGUCCCUAUCUGCCGUGGGCGCUGGAGAACUGAGGGGGGCUGCUCCUAGUACGAGAGGACCGGAGUGGACGCAUCACUGGUGUUCGGGUUGUCAUGCCAAUGGCACUGCCCGGUAGCUAAAUGCGGAAGAGAUAAGUGCUGAAAGCAUCUAAGCACGAAACUUGCCCCGAG
rnacentral:rRNA from 1 species